UUCAUUGCAGCAGCUCUCAACUGAACCCACUUUUUUUUCCCAAUGACUUCAAUGUCCCAGAUCUGUCUUUGACUCAACGUCAUCUCCGAGUGUGUUCCUGUGUGUGUGUUGUUGUUGUUGUUCCACACACACACACACACACACACACACGCCCACACACGUGUGUUUCCGCCGCCUCACAUUAUUAUUACCCUGCUCAGACAUUAACAUUUCAUGGGAGAUUCUGAGGUUUGUCUACUGGAUCUCAUCAAAUUUUCAUCCUUGAUUACGGAGGCAGAGCUGGAGGGAGAUUCCCUGCGUCCACGACACGUCAUUGGUCAUUUUGAAUAACGGUGAACACGGAAACUCAACACUGAAGAGUUUGAUGCUCUGCAGAGGAAACAACCAGGUGUCGGACUGAGACGUGACGAACAGCUCACGGCCAAUCAUCAAUCAUCAAGAGACUGUCAGGGUCCAGACUGGAGAACAGGUAUAAAAUGGCUGCAGCACAAGCGGAGGUGUCGUAACCUCGUGCCUCCAUUACCCACGAUGCACUGUGUCAUGGCGGGCUGCGGAGCUCUGGUAGGUCCUCGCCCUCUGAUACUUCUCAAGGUUUGGAGUGGGAAUAUAUUUCUCACUGCUGUCGGACAAACCUUCAAGAGAACGUGGAAUAUUUCUGUGUGGGAUAUUUAAACUCUGGGGCUUCAGGUGAGGAGCGAGCAGCAGCGUGUCACAGUGAGCCGCAGGAAACACAUCAACAUCUAAGACAUGGAAAUAAUUAAAUAAAUGAGAAACCACAACAACAAAACUGCAUUUAUUGCUGAAUUCGGAGCAGAGCGGUUCCCUAAUGGUUUCCACAUGUCGGUUGAUCAACUCUGGUUUUCAGCACUUUGCUGAUCGUAAAUGCAAAAUCUGAAUCUGCCGCUACGGGAAAAAUAACCUCAAUAAAUCAGGAGUGAAUGGGAAUGUAAGAUGUGUAAUGUGAGACACUGUGGUGCCUGCUGGGUAAACUCAAGGCGUCAUCAGACCAGAGCAAUGGAUUAUUGACUAGUGUAAUAUGAAACCCUGUAUGAUUCUUUGUCUGACUUUGAUUUGAGGGAUAAUCGUGCUCCAACUUCUUCUGCAGUUCCUGUAAUUUGGUUUUGGGCUGUUGUUUUCUUCCGGGAACAGAAAACGUAACGGAGUCUGUUAGUUGGUCUUCAUUUACUUACAUUUUGGUAAAUUGCCACCGUUAGAAGUGGAGCCACAUUAGCGGCGCCUGUUUGCAAUGUUCCCAAGGAUCUAAAGACGAGUAUCAUCGGAUUCAUUUGGUGCUGGGAAAGAAUAGAAACAGGAUGAUUCUCUGGUCACUCCCGGAGUCAUGAAGAGGUUUUUUGGUUUACCCAGACUUCUUAGAACAUGUAUGGACAUUGGUUCCUGUUUCUAUAACUGUACGUACCACCGCAUGUAAAAAUGUGUUUCAUGAUUGUGUGUUCGUGUUGAAAUGUCGUAGGUCUGCGA